rnacentral:lncRNA from 1 species
ACAUCCUUCUCUGCUAGCUCUCGCUCUCUCUCUCUCUAUAUAUAUAUACAUGUAUAUAUAUAUAUAUCACUCUCUCUAUAUCUCUUACUCUCUCUCUCUCUCCACUCAAUGUCUCUCCCUUUGUGCUUCUCUCUUCCCUCACCCUAUAUGUUAUCUCUCUCUCUCUCUGUCUGUUUCUCCUUCUCCCUCUCUCCCCAUCUCUCUCCUCACACGUCUCCUUCUCUCCCACACACAGGGACGCAACACAGACCUCACUGCUGAGCCCCUGCACACGUCAGUCAGACACUGGCCUUACACACCAACACAUCUGAACACGCACACGUCAGUCAGACACUACCCUUACACACCAACACAUCUGAACACGCACACGUCAGUCAGACACUACCCUUACACACCAACACAUCUGAACACGCACACGUCAGUCAGACACUGGCCUUACACACCAACACAUCUGAACACGCACACGUCAGUCAGACACUACCCUUACACACCAACACAUCUGAACACGCACACGUCAGUCAGACACUGGCCUUACACACCAACACAUCUCAACACGCACACGUCAGUCAGACACUACCCUUACACACCAACACAUCUGAACACGCACACGUCAGUCAGACACUGGCCUUACACACCAACACAUCUGAACACGCACACGUCAGUCAGACACUACCCUUACACACCAACACAUCUGAACACGCACACGUCAGUCAGACACUACCCUUACACACCAACACAUCUGAACACGCACACGUCAGUCAGACACUGGCCUUACACACCAACACAUCUGAACACGCACACGUCAGUCAGACACUACCCUUACACACCAACACAUCUGAACACGCACACGUCAGUCAGACACUACCCUUACACACCAACACAUCUGAACACGCACACGUCAGUCAGACACUACCCUUACACACCAACACAUCUGAACACGCACACGUCAGUCAGACACUACCCUUACACACCAACACAUCUGAACACGCACACGUCAGUCAGACACUACCCUUACACACCAACACAUCUGAACACGCACACGUCAGUCAGACACUGGCCUUACACACCAACACAUCUGAACACGCACACGUCAGUCAGACACUACCCUUACACACCAACACAUCUCUGGACUGAACAUGCACACGUCAGUCAGACACUACCCUUACACACCAACACAUCUGAACACGCACACUUCAGUCAGACACUACCCUUACACACCAACACAUCUGAACACGCACACGUCAGUCAGACACUGGCCUUACACACCAACACAUCUGAACACGCACACGUCAGUCAGACACUACCCUUACACACCAACACAUCUGAACACGCACACGUCAGUCAGACACUACCCUUACACACCAACACAUCUCUGGACUGAACAUGCACACGUCAGUCACAUCAAACGCAACAGGAAACAACUUCAUACUUACACAAAAGCACCCACAAAAACACCAACAGAGAGAGAGGGAGAGAAGGAGAGACAGAGAGUGAGAGAGGAAGAGAAAGAGAGGUAGAGAGAGAGGGAGAGAUAGACAGAGAGACAGAGA